rnacentral:rRNA from 1 species
CCUACGGGAGGCAGCAGUAAGGAAUAUUGGUCAAUGGACGCAAGUCUGAACCAGCCAUGCCGCGUGAAGGAUUAAGGCCCUCUGGGUUGUAAACUUCUUUUAUAGGGGACGAAAAAAGGGCAUUCUUGCUCACUUGACGGUACCCUAGGAAUAAGCACCGGCUAACUCCGUGCCAGCAGCCGCGGUAAUACGGAGGGUGCAAGCGUUAUCCGGAUUUACUGGGUUUAAAGGGUGCGUAGGUGGGUUGGUAAGUCAGUGGUGAAAUCUUCGAGCUUAACUCGGAAACUGCCAUUGAUACUAUCAAUCUUGAAUCAUCUAGAGGUAAGCGGAAUAUGUCAUGUAGCGGUGAAAUGCUUAGAUAUGACAUAGAACACCAAUUGCGGAGGCAGCUUACUAUGGAUGUAUUGACACUGAGGCACGAAAGCGUGGGGAUCAAACAGGAUUAGAUACCCUGGUAGUCCACGCCCUAAACCGAUGGAUACUCGACAUUUGUGAUAUACUAUAAGUGUCUGAGCGAAAGCACUAAGUAUCCCACCUGGAAGUACGACCGCAAGGUUGAACUCAAGGAAUUGACGG